GGCUCGUUGGUCUAGUGUAUGAUUUCUAGCUUUGGAGUGCGAGAGGAUCUCGGGUUCAAAUCCCGGACGAGCCC